UGUCGUUGGUUAUAUUGAUAUACGUGAUCAAUGUUGGGUCUAGUUACGCAAGAGUAACUAAGAUCUCUUAGAUCCUAUGUUGAUAUGAUUGAUGGACCGAAUUGUUCAUGACGAUUUUAUUUUGAUAGCAAUACUGAGCUCAUAAAGUUAUAAUGUAAGAUAUAAUACUAAGGUUUGUACAUAUGCAUGAGUAUAUCGUCCAAGCGGGAGAUU
rnacentral:lncRNA from 1 species